rnacentral:rRNA from 1 species
UACGAAGGGUGCUAGCGUUGUUCGGAAUUACUGGGCGUAAAGGGCGCGUAGGCGGCUUGGCAAGUUGGAUGUGAAAGCCCAGGGCUCAACCCUGGAAUUGCAUUCAAGACUGCCUUGCUUGAAUUCGGUAGAGGUUGGUGGAAUUCCCAGUGUAGAGGUGAAAUUCGUAGAGAUUGGGAAGAACACCCGUGGCGAAGGCGGCCAACUGGACCGACAUUGACGCUGAGGCGCGAAAGCGUGGGGAUCAAACAGG